rnacentral:rRNA from 1 species
CCUACGGGAGGCAGCAGUGAGGAAUAUUGGUCAAUGGGCGCGAGCCUGAACCAGCCAAGUAGCGUGAAGGAUGACUGCCCUACGGGUUGUAAACUUCUUUUAUAAAGGAAUAAAGUGAGGCACGUGUGCCUUAUUGUAUGUACUUUAUGAAUAAGGAUCGGCUAACUCCGUGCCAGCAGCCGCGGUAAUACGGAGGAUCCGAGCGUUAUCCGGAUUUAUUGGGUUUAAAGGGAGCGUAGGUGGGUUGUUAAGUCAGUUGUGAAAGUUUGCGGCUCAACCGUAAAAUUGCAAUUGAUACUGGCAGUCUUGAGUACAGUUGAGGUAGGCGGAAUUCGUGGUGUAGCGGUGAAAUGCUUAGAUAUCACGAAGAACGCCGAUUGCGAAGGCAGCUUACUAAACUGCCACUGACAUUGAUGCUCGAAAGUGUGGGUAUCAAACAGGAUUAGAUACCCGAGUAGUC